rnacentral:rRNA from 1 species
AUUGGGACUGAGAUACGGCCCAGACUCCUACGGGAGGCAGCAGUGGGGAAUAUUGCACAAUGGGCGCAAGCCUGAUGCAGCGACGCCGCGUGCGGGAUGACGGCCUUCGGGUUGUAAACCGCUUUUGACUGGGAGCAAGCCCUUCGGGGUGAGUGUACCUUUCGAAUAAGCACCGGCUAACUACGUGCCAGCAGCCGCGGUAAUACGUAGGGUGCAAGCGUUAUCCGGAAUUAUUGGGCGUAAAGGGCUCGUAGGCGGUUCGUCGCGUCCGGUGUGAAAGUCCAUCGCUUAACGGUGGAUCCGCGCCGGGUACGGGCGGGCUUGAGUGCGGUAGGGGAGACUGGAAUUCCCGGUGUAACGGUGGAAUGUGUAGAUAUCGGGAAGAACACCAAUGGCGAAGGCAGGUCUCUGGGCCGUUACUGACGCUGAGGAGCGAAAGCGUGGGGAGCGAACAGGAUUAGAUACCCUGGUAGUCCACGCCGUAAACGGUGGAUGCUGGAUGUGGGGCCCGUUCCACGGGUUCCGUGUCGGAGCUAACGCGUUAAGCAUCCCGCCUGGGGAGUACGGCCGCAAGGCUAAAACUCAAAGAAAUUGACGGGGGCCCGCACAAGCGGCGGAGCAUGCGGAUUAAUUCGAUGCAACGCGAAGAACCUUACCUGGGCUUGACAUGUUCCCGACAGCCCCAGAGAUGGGGCCUCCCUUCGGGGCGGGUUCACAGGUGGUGCAUGGUCGUCGUCAGCUCGUGUCGUGAGAUGUUGGGUUAAGUCCCGCAACGAGCGCAACCCU